GACUCGGUAGCUUAGUUGGAAAUGCACUUGUCUAGCGAAAAAGGUUCGUGAGUUCAAAUCUCACCUGGGCUG
rnacentral:tRNA from 1 species